UGCUCUCAUCUUCAUAAGCUUCUUUCAUGGCUUCUUCUUCACCAUCUCUUUGCCCUCUUCUUUUCUUCGCAGCCGUUAUACUGGUGGUCUUCGGCACCACUAACAGUGCCACCUUGGAUUGGACUUCCACCACCAUUUCUUCGACCAUGUGUGCCAGUGGGUGGAGGCCCACGACGGGCUCUCUGAUGGUUGGUGGCUUGAGAAGGACUUUAUCGAGUACUAUGCCAUCCUUACCCACCACGACUGCAUCUUCCGUGGUCACGUCCUUGUCGAC
rnacentral:lncRNA from 1 species